UACGGAGGGAGCUAGCGUUGUUCGGAAUUACUGGGCGUAAAGCGCACGUAGGCGGCUUUGUAAGUUAGAGGUGAAAGCCCGGGGCUCAACCCCGGAAUUGCCUUUAAGACUGCAUCGCUUGAAUCCGGGGAGGGGGUGAGUGGAAUUCCGAGUGUAGAGGUGAAAUUCGUAGAUAUUCGGAAGAACACCAGUGGCGAAGGCGGCUCACUGGACCGGUAUUGACGCUGAGGUGCGAAAGCGUGGGGAGCAAACAGG
rnacentral:rRNA from 1 species